GAGUUUGAUCCUGGCUCAGGACGAACGCUGGCGGCGUGCUUAACACAUGCAAGUCGAACGGAAAGGCCCUGCUUUUGUGGGGUGCUCGAGUGGCGAACGGGUGAGUAACACGUGAGUAACCUGCCCUUGACUUUGGGAUAACUUCAGGAAACUGGGGCUAAUACCGGAUAGGAGCUCCUGCUGCAUGGUGGGGGUUGGAAAGUUUCGGCGGUUGGGGAUGGACUCGCGGCUUAUCAGCUUGUUGGUGGGGUAGUGGCUUACCAAGGCUUUGACGGGUAGCCGGCCUGAGAGGGUGACCGGCCACAUUGGGACUGAGAUACGGCCCAGACUCCUACGGGAGGCAGCAGUGGGGAAUAUUGCACAAUGGGCGGAAGCCUGAUGCAGCAACGCCGCGUGCGGGAUGACGGCCUUCGGGUUGUAAACCGCUUUCGCCUGUGACGAAGCGUGAGUGACGGUAAUGGGUAAAGAAGCACCGGCUAACUACGUGCCAGCAGCCGCGGUGAUACGUAGGGUGCGAGCGUUGUCCGGAUUUAUUGGGCGUAAAGGGCUCGUAGGUGGUUGAUCGCGUCGGAAGUGUAAUCUUGGGGCUUAACCCUGAGCGUGCUUUCGAUACGGGUUGACUUGAGGAAGGUAGGGGAGAAUGGAAUUCCUGGUGGAGCGGUGGAAUGCGCAGAUAUCAGGAGGAACACCAGUGGCGAAGGCGGUUCUCUGGGCCUUUCCUGACGCUGAGGAGCGAAAGCGUGGGGAGCGAACAGGCUUAGAUACCCUGGUAGUCCACGCUGUAAACGGUGGGUACUAGGUGUGGGGUCCAUUCCACGAGUUCCGUGCCGUAGCUAACGCUUUAAGUACCCCGCCUGGGGAGUACGGCCGCAAGGCUAAAACUCAAAGGAAUUGACGGGGCCCCGCACAAGCGGCGGAGCAUGCGGAUUAAUUCGAUGCAACGCGUAGAACCUUACCUGGGUUUGACAUGGAUCGGGAGUGCUCAGAGAUGGGUGUGCCUCUUUUGGGGUCGGUUCACAGGUGGUGCAUGGCUGUCGUCAGCUCGUGU
rnacentral:rRNA from 1 species